rnacentral:tRNA from 1 species
UUUACUGUGGCAGAUUAGUGCAAUGAAGUUAAGUUUCAUGUAUAAAAUUUUAUUUUCAGUAAAA